GAUGAACGCUGGCUACAGGCUUAACACAUGCAAGUCGAGGGGAAACGACGGGGAAGCUUGCUUCCCCGGGCGUCGACCGGCGCACGGGUGAGUAACGCGUAUCCAACCUGCCUCUGACUGAGGGAUAACCCGUCGAAAGUCGGCCUAAUACCUCAUGGCAUCGUCUGCGGGCAUCCAACGACGAUUAAAGAUUUCAUCGGUCAGAGAUGGGGAUGCGUCUGAUUAGCUUGUUGGCGGGGUAACGGCCCACCAAGGCUACGAUCAGUAGGGGUUCUGAGAGGAAGGUCCCCCACAUUGGAACUGAGACACGGUCCAAACUCCUACGGGAGGCAGCAGUGAGGAAUAUUGGUCAAUGGGCGAGAGCCUGAACCAGCCAAGUAGCGUGCAGGAAGACGGCCCUAUGGGUUGUAAACUGCUUUUAUGCGGGGAUAAAGUGAGGGACGUGUCCUUCAUUGCAGGUACCG
rnacentral:rRNA from 1 species